CCUACGGGAGGCCGCAGUGAGGAAUAUUGGUCAAUGGCCGCAGGGCUGAACCAGCCAAGUCGCGUGAGGGAUGACGGUCCUAUGGAUUGUAAACCUCUUUUGUCAGGGAGCAAAGGGCGCCACGUGUGGCGCUUUGCGAGUACCUGAAGAAAAAGCAUCGGCUAACUCCGUGCCAGCAGCCGCGGUAAUACGGAGGAUGCGAGCGUUAUCCGGAUUUAUUGGGUUUAAAGGGUGCGCAGGCGGAAUGUCAAGUCAGCGGUAAAAUUUCGGGGCUCAACCCCGUCGUGCCGUUGAAACUGGCGUUCUUGAGUGAGCGAGAAGUAUGCGGAAUGCGUGGUGUAGCGGUGAAAUGCAUAGAUAUCACGCAGAACUCCGAUUGCGAAGGCAGCAUACCGGAGCUCAACUGACGCUCAUGCACGAAAGCGUGGGUAUCGAGCAGGAUUAGAUACCCUUGUAGUC
rnacentral:rRNA from 1 species